GACGAACCGUCCAAACGUUGUUCGGAAUCACUGGGCUUAAAGGGCGCGUAGGCGGGCCCGAUAGUCAGGGGUGAAAUCCCACGGCUCAACCGUGGAAGAGCCUUUGAUACUUCGGGUCUAGAGGGAUGUAGGGGCGUGCGGAACUUCCGGUGGAGCGGUGAAAUGCGUAGAUAUCGGAAGGAACACCGGUGGCGAAAGCGGCGCGCUGGACAUCUACUGACGCUGAGGCGCGAAAGCCAGGGGAGCAAACGGG
rnacentral:rRNA from 1 species